rnacentral:rRNA from 1 species
GAUGAACGCUGACAGAAUGCUUAACACAUGCAAGUCAACUUGAAUUUGGGUUUUUAACUUAGGUUUGGGUGGCGGACGGGUGAGUAACGCGUAAAGAACUUGCCUCUCAGCUAGGGACAACAUUUGGAAACGAAUGCUAAUACCUAAUAUUAUGAUAAUAGGGCAUCCUAUAAUUAUGAAAGCUAUAAGCGCUGUGAGAGAGCUUUGCGUCCCAUUAGCUAGUUGGAGAGGUAACGGCUCACCAAGGCGAUGAUGGGUAGCCGGUCUGAGAGGGUGAGCGGCCACAAGGAGACUGAGACACGGCCCUUACUCCGACGGGAGGCAGCAGUGGGGAAUAUUGGACAAUGGACCGAGAGUCUGAGCCAGCAUGUCUGUGUGCACGAUGAAGUUUUUCGGAAUGUAAAGUUCUUUCAGUUGGGAAGAAACAAAUGACGGUACCAACAGAAGAAGUGACGGCUAAAUACGUG